rnacentral:rRNA from 1 species
UACGUAGGCAGCGAGCGUUGUUCGGAGUUACUGGGCGUAAAGGGUGUGUAGGCGGUUGUUUAAGUUUGGUGUGAAAUCUCCCGGCUCAACCGGGAGGGUGCGCCGAAUACUGAAUGACUUCGAGUGCGGGAGAGGAAAGUGGAAUUCCUGGUGUAGCGGUGAAAUGCGUAGAUAUCUGAAGGAACAUCAGUGGCGAAAGCGACUUCCUGGACCAAUACUGACGCUCAUGUGCGAAAGCGUGGGGAGCAAACAGG